UUUGUAUUCACUUUACCAACAGAAAUGAAACACUUGCAGAAUGUUUAUGUUUUUAUUCCAAUAUAGACUGUGGGGUGACCAUGGGCAAGAAGCUUUAGAGUCAGCCCAUGUUUGUGUGAUAAAUGCAACGGCCACAGGAACUGAAAUACUCAAAAAUCUGGUGCUACCUGGUAUUGGUUCAUUUACAAUUGUGGAUGGGAAUCGGGUCUCUGGAGAAGACGUUGGAAAUAAGUAGGUUUGUU